GGCCAUUAAAGCCUCUUAUGUUGUAAUUAACGUUGGAGGGGAGAAGAGAGCUGCCUUCAGAAUGGAUGUGAUCAUUUAAUUAGGCUUAGGCGUAGGUGCCACAACAGGUCCGGAGAAGUCAUAAUUUAACUACAGCUUUAAAUUACACAGGCAGAGUGGGGAUGGCAGAGUUUGACGGCAGGAGAGCCUGCCUCGGAGCUCGGGGAAACAAUUAAAUAAACACCCCGAGUGAGUGAGACAGACAGUGAGAGAGACAGACAGACAGACAAAGCGGUAGGCGCUGACGGCGAGAGAGAUGGGGAAGAGGGAAGGAAGAGGGUGGUGCGAGGGCGGCGAAGAGGGGUCACCGUAGGAGACCCUGAGCGAGAAGAAAAGUGAGAUCCCCAAGAGUGAGCGGCGGCCUGAGGAGGAGUGUGUGUGUUUGUGUGUGUGUGUACAAGUUUCUGGGGCGAGUGCCUCUGGGCAACCUCAACAGCCCCAGCCCGAGGUGCAGGCUGCAUUCUUCAAACACACCUGACCUUCCAGAACGUGCAAAGACACUGAGCCGAGAAGGCGGCAAGGGCCAGGCUGUGAGUUCGUCCUCGCCUUCUCGGGGCGCCGCUCCCCUUACAAUCUCCGUGUUCGAGCUCGGGAAGAGAAGACGCCUUCCUUUCCCACCCUGGAGAGUGUGGGGUCCCCGAGCGCCCCGCCCCACCCGCGUCCUCAGGGACGGCCAGGGCCGGGCCGCGCGUCCUAGGCACCCGGAGCGAGCGGCAAAGCCGGACGGGACGGCGGGAGCCAGCGGGGCCGGCGCGGGGGCCGGAGAAGUUCAAGACUCGGGCACUGCGCAGCGCCGAGGGGGAUGACCCGCCGUCUCCCGGGCGCCAGCGCUGGCUCGUUGCUCAACCUGCGGGAUUAGUCACUCGGCUAGACCCGCGGGACCGUCGGAAAAACGCGAAGGGAGCGCUACGGCGCAGGGGGAGGGAAGGAAGAACGCCACGCCAAAUCCACUGUGAGCUGGAGGAACGCUGGGAGAACGGAGGGAGGAGAGAGAAGCCGACGGAUGGAGUUACGGAGGUGGGGUAGGGCCCCUCGAAGAGCCGGGCAGAGCCCCUGCUGCUGUCCACACUAAGGCCUGACCCGUGGACGGCACUCCCUCUCCCACCGUUUUGGUUGGAAGAAGCGAGUCUUGGACGCGGGAGAAGACAGAGCCCCCGUACCCCCAACUUCCCACUCAUUCACUAGCCCCCACCCCCAGAUAUUCAAGUAAGAGCCUGCCUCCUGCCCUUCCCCCACAGGAAAAAAAAAAAAAAACACAAAAGCCACCAAACAGUCGCUGGAAGGACACUCUUUUCUUCCAAAGCAGGGCAGAGUUUCUUCAUUUUGAUUAAACAUCCACAAAUUUGUCCC
rnacentral:lncRNA from 1 species